CAAUUACGGAAUAAGGAGGUCCUGCCUGCCCCUUCACCAUGUAGUUUAACGGCCGCGGUAUUUUCACCGUGCAAAGGUAGCGUAAUCAUUUGUCUUUUAAAUAAGGACCCGUAUCAACGGCAAGACGAGGGCUUAACUGUCUCCUUUCUCAAGUCAAUAAAAUUGAUCUUCCCGUGCAGAAGCGGGAAUCUCACCAUAAGACGAGAAGACCCUGUGGAGCUUACACCAAGACAGACUAUGUAAGAACAACCCUUAAUCAAAAGCUCGAACAAAUUUAACCUGCCCUAAUGUCUUCGGUUGGGGCGACCAUGGGGAAAUACAAAACCCCCACGUGGAAUGGAAGCAUUAUACACUACCACAACUAAGAGCUCCCCCUCUAACUUACAGAAUUUCUGACCUAUUAUGAUCCGGCAACGCCGAUUGACGAACCAAGUUACCCCAGGGAUAACAGCGCAAUCCUCUUUUAGAGUCCAUAUCGACAAGAGGGUUUACGACCUCGAUGUUGGAUCAGGACAUCCUAAUGGUGCAGCCGCUAUUAAGGGUUCGUUUGUUCAACGAUUAAAGUCCUACGUGAUCAGUUUCCAAAACGAAA
rnacentral:rRNA from 1 species